CAGUCGCCGCGGGAAUACGUAGGUGGCAAGCGUUGUCCGGAAUUAUUGGGCGUAAAGGGCUCGCAGGCGGUUUCUUAAGUCUGAUGUGAAAGCCCCCGGCUCAACCGGGGAGGGUCAUUGGAAACUGGGAAACUUGAGUGCAGAAGAGGAGAGUGGAAUUCCACGUGUAGCGGUGAAAUGCGUAGAGAUGUGGAGGAACACCAGUGGCGAAGGCGACUCUCUGGUCUGUAACUGGCGCUGAGGAGCGAAAGCGUGGGGAGCGAACAGGAUUAGAUACCCCCGUAGUCCCUGUCUCUUAUAA
rnacentral:rRNA from 1 species